rnacentral:rRNA from 1 species
GGCUCAGAUUGAACGCUGGCGGCAUGCCUUACACAUAGCAAGUCGAACGGCAGCACGGGGCAACCUGGUGGCGAGUGGCGAACGGGUGAGUAAUGCAUCGGAACGUGCCAUUGAGUGGGGGAUAACGUAGCGAAAGUUGCGCUAAUACCGCAUAUUCUGUGAGCAGGAAAGCAGGGGACCGCAAGGCCUUGCGCUCUUUGAGCGGCCGAUGUCAGAUUAGCUAGUUGGUGAGGUAACGGCUUACCAAGGCGACGAUCUGUAGCGGGUCUGAGAGGAUGAUCCGCCACACUGGAACUGAGACACGGUCCAGACUCCUACGGGAGGCAGCAGUGGGGAAUUUUGGACAAUGGGCGCAAGCCUGAUCCAGCCAUGCCGCGUGAGUGAAGAAGGCCUUCGGGUUGUAAAGCUCUUUCGGCCGGGAAGAAAUCGCAUGGGUUAAUACCCUGUGUGGAUGACGGUACCGGAAUAAGAAGCACCGGCUAACUACGUG